CCCGUGACUGUAUGAUGAGAACAUGUUGGUAGGGACAUCUGAUAUAAUGUGAUGAAUGCCAACUUUCUUCUCCUGACUUCAUGGG